AUACGUAGGGGGCGAGCGUUGUCCGGAUUUAUUGGGCGUAAAGGGUGCGUAGGCGGCCUUGUAAGUCAGAUGUGAAAGAUCAUGGCUUAACUGUGGUAAGCAUUUGAAACUGCAGGGCUUGAGUACCGGAGAGGAGAGUGGAAUUCCUAGUGUAGCGGUGUAAUGGGUAGAUAUUAGGAGGAAUACCAAUGGCGAAGGCGACUCUCUGGACUGAUACUGACGCUGAGGCACGAAAGCGUGGGGAGCAAACAGGAUUAGAUACCCUGGUAGUCCACGCUAUAAACGAUGAGUGCUAGGUGUCGGGGGUCAAACCUCGGUGCCGCAGUUAACACAUUAAGCACUCCGCCUGGGGAGUACGGCCGCAAGGCUGAAACUCAAAUGAAUUGGCGGGG
rnacentral:rRNA from 1 species